rnacentral:lncRNA from 1 species
UUUUGGGAUUUUUUGGAUAAAAAUGAAAUUACUAUGAAUUUUAAAAGAAGAGGCAAUUAAAAAUAAUAAAAGAAAAAUAAUUAAAAUUAGAAAAAAAACAGAGUGUUGGAUCACGCCUCAUUAAUUGACGUGACAGAUCGAACACUCCAAAUGUUAAAGAACACAAUGGAACGUGUUGCAAGCCAAACAUAAGAUCCAG